ensembl:piRNA 21ur-5214 ncRNA
UCAUUCCUAGCAGAAUUUUCA